AACGGAGGUGGCUAGCGUUACUCGGAUUUACUGGGUGUAAAGGGUGCGUAGGCGGCCUGGAAAGUCAGAAGUGAAAUACUUCGGCUCAACCGAAGAGACGUUUCUGAAACUUCUGGGCUAGAGAGUCAAAGAGGAGAAUGGAACUGCCGGUGUAGGGGUGAAAUGCGUAGAGAUCAGGAGGAACACCGAUGGCGAAGGCAGCCCCCUGGGCCUGUACUGACGCUCAUGCACGAAAGCGUGGGGAGCAAACAGG
rnacentral:rRNA from 1 species